UGGGGAAUCUUGGACAAUGGGGGCAACCCUGAUCCAGCCAUGCCGCGUGAGUGAUGAAGGCCUUAGGGUCGUAAAGCUCUUUCGCCUGUGAAGAUAAUGACGGUAGCCGGAGAAGAAGCCCCGGCUAACUCCGUGCCAGCAGCCGCGGUAAUACGGAGGGGGCUAGCGUUGUUCGGAAUUACUGGGCGUAAAGCGCGCGUAGGCGGACUGAUCAGUCAGGGGUGAAAUCCCGGGGCUCAACCCCGGAACUGCCUUUGAUACUGGUUGGCUAGAGUUCGGGAGAGGGUAGUGGAAUUCCCAGUGUAGAGGUGAAAUUCGUAGAUAUUUGGAGGAACACCAGUGGCGAAGGCGGCUCACUGGCUCGAUACUGACGCUGAGGUGCGAAAGUGUGGGGAGCAAACAGGAUUAGAUACCCUGGUAGUCCACACCGUAAACGAUGAAUGCCAGUCGUCGGGUAGCAUGCUAUUCGGUGACACACCUAACGGAUUAAGCAUUCCGCCUGGGGAGUACGGUCGCAGAUUAAAACUCAAAGG
rnacentral:rRNA from 1 species